GGGCUUCUUAUGGCAACAAGGUCAGAGGUGAAAACCAUCAUGGCGGCCAAGGUGGUCCUCAAUUGCCACCUCUCCAAGCCAGGUCUGAGGAUACUUCUUGGGCCACUGCCGAGGCCAACUCUUCAUCUGGGCACCAGUCCUCUAAAUCCCAUGGCUCAGGGAGUCUUGUGCAUGGGUUCAGAGACUCCUAGGCCCGAGCAAUAAGGAGUUAGGCAU
rnacentral:lncRNA from 1 species